GUAACAACUCACCUGCCGAAUGAACUAGCCCUGAAAAUGGAUGGCGCUUAAGCGUGUUACCCAUACCUCGCCGUCAGGGUAGAAACGAUGCCCUGACGAGUAGGCAGGCGUGGAGGUUGUAUCGAAGCCUAGGCAGUGAUGCUGGGUGGAACAGCCUCUAGUGCAGAUCUUGGUGGUAGUAGCAAAUACUCAAAUGAGAACUUUGAGGACUGAAGUGGGGAAAGGUUCCAUGUGAACAGCAGUUGGACAUGGGUUAGUCGAUCCUAAGGUAUAGGGAAGUUCCGUUUUAAA
rnacentral:rRNA from 1 species